AGGCGUCUGCUCAGGUGGCAUCAAAUCUGGAACUACACCCGUAGAAGCACAUGUGGCGUGAUCCUCGGACAGGGGUUCAAAUCCCCUCGCCUCCACCA
rnacentral:tRNA from 1 species